rnacentral:rRNA from 1 species
GGUUAACGCUGGCGGCGUGCCUAACACAUGCAAGUCGAACGGUUCUAAGCGCGAGCUUAGGAUAGUGGCGAACGGGUGAGUAAAAGGUAGGAAUCUACCCCUUGGACGGAGAUAGCUACUGGAAACGGUAGGUAAACUUCGAUAAGCCCGAGAGGGGAAAGUGGUGAGACAGCCGAGGGAUGAGCCUACUCUCCAUCAGGUAGUUGGUGAGAUAAAAGCUUACCAAGCCGAUGACGGAUAACCGGUGUGAGAGCAUGAACGGUCACAAGGGCACUGAGAGACGGGCCCUACUCCUACGGGAGGCAGCAGUGGGGAAUCUUGGACAAUGGGCGAAAGCCUGAUCCAGCGACGCCGCGUGGAGGAAGAAGUCCUUCGGGAUGUAAACUUCUGAACUAGCCGAAUAAAAGGCCUAGUGGACACACAGGAGAAGAAAGUAGGCUAGGAAAAGUACCCGGCUAACUACGUG